CAGGCCUAAUACAUGCAAGUCGAACGGGAUUUGGGAGCUUGCUUCCAAUGAGAGUGGCGCACGGGUGCGUAACACGUAUGUAACCUACCUUAAUCUGGGGGAUAGCCUCUCGAAAGAGAGAUUAACACCGCAUAACAUUACCGGAUAGCAUUUUCUGGUAAUCAAAUAUUUAUAGGAUUAAGAUGGGCAUGCGGAACAUUAGCUAGUUGGUAAGGUAAUGGCUUACCAAGGCUACGAUGUUUAGGGGAUCUGAGAGGAUGACCCCCCACACUGGUACUGAGACACGGACCAGACUCCUACGGGAGGCAGCAGUAAGGAAUAUUGGUCAAUGGGCGCAAGCCUGAACCAGCCAUGCCGCGUGCAGGAAGACGGCCCUACGGGUUGUAAACUGCUUUUGUACCGGAAUAAACCUUUUCACGUGUGAGAAGCUGAAUGUACGGUAAGAAUAAGGAUCGGCUAACUCCGUGCCAGCAGCCGCGGUAAUACGGAGGAUCCAAGCGUUAUCCGGAUUUAUUGGGUUUAAAGGGUGCGUAGGCGGUUCUUUAAGUCAGGGGUGAAAGACGGUAGCUUAACUAUCGCAGUGCCUUUGAUACUGAAGAACUUGAAUACACUUGAGGUAGGCGGAAUGUGACAAGUAGCGGUGAAAUGCAUAGAUAUGUCACAGAACACCAAUUGCGAAGGCAGCUUACUAAAGUGUCAUUGACGCUGAGGCACGAAAGCGUGGGGAUCAAACAGGAUUAGAUACCCUGGUAGUCCACGCCCUAAACGAUGAAUACUCGAUGUU
rnacentral:rRNA from 1 species